UACGUAGGGGGCGAGCGUUAUCCGGAAUUACUGGGCGUAAAGCGCGUUAAGGCGGUUGGCUAAGUUAGUUGUGAAAUCUCAGGGCUCAACCCUGAAAUUGCGUCCGAUACUGGUCGACUUGAGUGCGAGAGAGGAAGGUGGAAUUCCCGGUGUAGUGGUGAAAUGCGUAGAUAUCGGGAGGAACACCAGUGGCGAAGGCGGCCUUCUGGAUUGUAACUGACGCUGUAGCGCGAAAGCGUGGGGAGCGAACCGG
rnacentral:rRNA from 1 species